rnacentral:rRNA from 1 species
UUCGGGACGCCGGCGAGUGGCGAACGGGUGAGUAACACGUGGAGACCUGCCCUGGGGUGGGGGAUAACAGCUAGAAAUGGCUGCUAAUACUGCAUACGCCUUACGAGGGAAAGAUUUAUUGCCCCAGGAGGGUUCCGCGUCGGAUUAGCUUGUUGGUGGGGUAACGGCCUACCAAGGCGACGAUCCGUAGCUGGUCUUAGAGGAUGAUCAGCCACACUGGGACUGAGACACGGCCCAGACUCCUACGGGAGGCAGCAGUGGGGAAUAUUGCGCAAUGGGGGAAACCCUGACGCAGCGAUGCCGCGUGGAUGAAUAAGGCCUUAGGGUUGUAAAGCCCUUUCAGUGGGAACGAUGAUGACGGUACCCACAGAAGAAGCCCCGGCUAACUCCGUGCCAGCAGCCGCGGUAAUACGGAGGGGGCGAGCGUUGU